GACGAACGUUGGCGGCGUGCUUAACACAUGCAAGUCGAACGGAAAGGCCCUGCUUUUGUGGGGUGCUCGAGUGGCGAACGGGUGAGUAACACGUGAGUAACCUGCCCUUGACUUUGGGAUAACUUCAGGAAACUGGGGCUAAUACCGGAUAGGAGCUCCUGCUGCAUGGUGGGGGUUGGAAAGUUUCGGCGGUUGGGGAUGGACUCGCGGCUUAUCAGCUUGUUGGUGGGGUAGUGGCUUACCAAGGCUUUGACGGGUAGCCGGCCUGAGAGGGUGACCGGCCACAUUGGGACUGAGAUACGGCCCAGACUCCUACGGGAGGCAGCAGUGGGGAAUAUUGCACAAUGGGCGGAAGCCUGAUGCAGCAACGCCGCGUGCGGGAUGACGGCCUUCGGGUUGUAAACCGCUUUCGCCUGUGACGAAGCGUGAGUGACGGUAAUGGGUAAAGAAGCACCGGCUAACUACGUGCCAGCAGCCGCGGUGAUACGUAGGGUGCGAGCGUUGUCCGGAUUUAUUGGGCGUAAAGGGCUCGUAGGUGGUUGAUCGCGUCGGAAGUGUAAUCUUGGGGCUUAACCCUGAGCGUGCUUUCGAUACGGGUUGACUUGAGGAAGGUAGGGGAGAAUGGAAUUCCUGGUGGAGCGGUGGAAUGCGCAGAUAUCAGGAGGAACACCAGUGGCGAAGGCGGUUCUCUGGGCCUUUCCUGACGCUGAGGAGCGAAAGCGUGGGGAGCGAACAGGCUUAGAUACCCUGGUAGUCCACGCUGUAAACGGUGGGUACUAGGUGUGGGGUCCAUUCCACGGGUUCCGUGCCGUAGCUAACGCUUUAAGUACCCCGCCUGGGGAGUACGGCCGCAAGGCUAAAACUCAAAGGAAUUGACGGGGCCCCGCACAAGCGGCGGAGCAUGCGGAUUAAUUCGAUGCAACGCGUAGAACCUUACCUGGGUUUGACAUGGAUCGGGAGCGCUCAGAGAUGGGUGUGCCUCUUUUGGGGUCGGUUCACAGGUGGUGCAUGGCUGUCGUCAGCUCGUGUCGUGAGAUGUUGGGUUAAGUCCCGCAACGAGCGCAGCCCUUGUUCACUGUUGCCAGCACGUUAUGGUGGGGACUCAGUGGAGACCGCCGGGGUCAACUCGGAGGAAGGUGGGGAUGACGUCAAGUCAUCAUGCCCCUUAUGUCCAGGGCUUCACGCAUGCUACAAUGGCUGGUACAGAGAGUGGCGAGCCUGUGAGGGUGAGCGAAUCUCGGAAAGCCGGUCUCAGUUCGGAUUGGGGUCUGCAACUCGACCUCAUGAAGUCGGAGUCGCUAGUAAUCGCAGAUCAGCAACGCUGCGGUGAAUACGUUCCCGGG
rnacentral:rRNA from 1 species